CAAGCCACACCUAUUUGAGUAAGCAAUUACUCCCUUGAGGGAGAAAAGUCAGAAAACAUAAUGUUGAAAUCUCUAGAACAUAACUGGCAUAUGGAAAUAUUUUCUGAUUAUGAAUUGUCAACUUUAAUUUCAUUUCCAGAUGGCAUGGUCUUAGCUGUUAUACAGUGUUUAUAAAUGUUCUAAAUCAAGGGAAUUUGUGGCAAUCUAUUAGAAUAAAAUAAAAUAUUUGAGUUCUUAAUUUCCUUUAAUUAGGAUAAACUUUUUCUUAAAGUGAAGAGAAUGUUUUUAUUACAUAUUUUUCUUCUGAAAAGAUAGGCUGUAUUUUCUAGCAAUUACGAAUUUGUUGUAUAUGAUGAUCUGGUUCUCGGAACAUUCUUGAAUCUAGUGUUUCUAAGGCAGGUGUGUACAGCAAGAAGUGAAUAACACAAAAAUCAAUCAUGAACGCAUUAUAAGGCAAUUGAGUUUGUCACAACUGCAAAAUAUUGCUGAGUGUGGAUUGCUCUGAAAUCUGAAAAUAUUACUUGUGAAUUGCUUAUAUCCGAAAUGCAGACACAGUGCUGGGUGUUGGUUUACUUGUUUCUGAUUUUUCAACUCUCUUUUCUACGCAAAAGGUGUCCAAACUAUACAGACCCACAGAAUCUAACAGAUGUCUCAGUAGUCCUCCUCCUAGAACUCUCAGAGGAUCCAGAACUGCAUCCAGUCCUCGCUGGGCUGUUCCUGUCCAUGUGCCUCAUCACGGUGCUGGGGAACCUGCUCAUCAUCCUGGCUGUCAGCCCUGACUCCCACCUCUACACCCCCAUGUACUUCUUCCUCUCCAACCUGUCCUUGCCUGACAUCAGUUUCACCCCCACCACAGUCCCCAAGAUGUUUGUGAACAUCCAACCUCACAGCAGAGUCAUCUCCUAUGCCGGCUCCCUGACCCAGAUGUCUUUUUUUGCCGUUUUUGGAGGCAUGGAAGAAAGACAUGCUCCUGAGUGUGAUGGCUGUAAGACUGGUUUGUAGCCAUCUGUCACCCUCUAUAUUAUUCAGUCAUCAUGAACCGGUGUUUCUGUGGCUUCCUAGUUCUGUUGUCUUUUUUUCUCAGUCUUUUAGACUCCCAGCUGUACAAUUUGGUUGCCUUACAAAUUACCUGCUUCAAGGAUGUGGAAAUUCCUGAUUUCUUCUGUGACCCUUCUCAGUUCCCCCACCUUGCAUGUUGUGACACGUUCACUAAUAACAUAGUCAUGUAUUUCCCUGCUGCUGUAUUUGGUUUUCUUCCCACCUUGGGGAUCCUUUUAUCUUACUAUAAAAUUGUUUCCUCCAUUCUGAGGGUUUCAUCAUCAGGUGGGAACUAUAAAGCCUUCUCCACCUGUGGGUCUCACCUGUCAGUUGUGUGCUUAUUUUAUGGAACAGGCAUUGGAGGGUACCUCAAUUCAGAUGUGUCAUCUUCCCCCAGAAAGGGUGCAGUGGCCUCAGUGAUAUACACGGUGGUCACCCCCAUGCUAAACCCCUUCUACAGCCUGAGAAACAGGGAUAUUAAAAGUGUCCUGCGGUGGCCACAAGGCAGAACAGUCUAAUCUCA